AUUGAACGCUGGCGGCAGGCUUAACACAUGCAAGUCGAGCGGAUGAAGGGUGCUUGCGCCUGGUGUCAGCGGCGGACGGGUGAGUAAUGCCUAGGAAUCUGCCUGGUUGUGGGGUAUAACGUCCGGAAACGGGCGCUAAUACCGCCUACGUCCUGAGGGAGAUAGAGGGUGAUCUUCGGACCUCUCGCUCUCUGAUGAGUCUAGGUCGGAUUGGCUAGUUGGUGGGGUAAAGGCCUACCUGGGGGACGAUCCGUAACUGGUCUGCGAGAAUGAUCAGUCACACUGGAACGGAAACACGGUCCAGGCGACUACGAGACGCAGCAGAGGGGAACAGUGGACAAUAGGCGAGAGUCUGAUCCAGACAGGCCACGUGUGAGGAGAAAAUGCUCGGAUUGGGAAGCACUUUAAGUUGGGAGAAAGGGCAGUAAGCUGAGACCUUGCUGUUUUGACGGUACCGGGAGAAGAAGCACCGGCUAACUUCGUG
rnacentral:rRNA from 1 species